GAUGAACGCUGGCGGCGUGCCUAAUACAUGCAAGUCGAGCGAACAGACGAGGAGCUUGCUCCUCUGACGCUAGCGGCGGACGGGUGAGUAACACGUGGAUAACCUACCUAUAAGACUGGGAUAACUUCGGGAAACCGGAGCUAAUACCGGAUAAUAUAUUGAACCGCAUGGUUCAAUAGUGAAAGACGGUUUUGCUGUCACUUAUAGAUGGAUCCGCGCUGCAUUAGCUAGUUGGUAAGGUAACGGCUUACCAAGGCAACGAUGCGUAGCCGACCUGAGAGGGUGAUCGGCCACACUGGAACUGAGACACGGUCCAGACUCCUACGGGAGGCAGCAGUAGGGAAUCUUCCGCAAUGGGCGAAAGCCUGACGGAGCAACGCCGCGUGAGUGAUGAAGGUCUUCGGAUCGUAAAACUCUGUUAUUAGGGAAGAACAAAUGUGUAAGUAACUAUGCACAUCUUGACGGUACCUAAUCAGAAAGCCACGGCUAACUACGUG
rnacentral:rRNA from 1 species